UGUUGCUUAUUCUCCUGUUUAUAAAGCCCGGCUUAAGUGCUUAUAAAAAAUGAAUAAAGCACAAAACGGUGCCUGUCGUCCUUCAGACCGAUAAGCGUGCCUUCGGGUCGUUAUCAAGCAUUGGACGCAACGUUGAGUUAGGCACCAUCUA
rnacentral:sRNA from 1 species